rnacentral:rRNA from 1 species
AACGCUGGCGGCGUGCUUAACACAUGCAAGUCGAACGAGAAUCUGUGGAAAGAGGGAUUCGUCCAAUUGAAACAGAGGACAGUGGCGGACGGGUGAGUAACGCGUGAGGAACCUGCCUUUCAGAGGGGGACAACAGCUGGAAACGGCUGCUAAUACCGCAUGAUGCAUCGAGGGGGCAUCCCUUUGAUGCCAAAGAUUUUAUCGCUGAAAGAUGGCCUCGCGUCCGAUUAGAUAGUUGGCGGGGUAACGGCCCACCAAGUCGACGAUCGGUAGCCGGACUGAGAGGUUGAACGGCCACAUUGGGACUGAGACACGGCCCAGACUCCUACGGGAGGCAGCAGUGGGGAAUAUUGCACAAUGGAGGAAACUCUGAUGCAGCGACGCCGCGUGAGUGAAGAAGUAAUUCGUUAUGUAAAGCUCUAUCAGCAGGGAAGAUAGUGACGGUACCUGACUAAGAAGCUCCGGCUAAAUACGUG